rnacentral:rRNA from 1 species
CCUACGGGUGGCAGCAGUGAGGAAUAUUGGUCAAUGGCCGGAAGGCUGAACCAGCCAAGUCGCGUGAGGGAAUAAGGCCCUAUGGGUCGUAAACCUCUUUUGUCAGGGAGCAAGGGCGUCCACGUGUGGACGAGAGGAGAGUACCUGAAGAAAAAGCAUCGGCUAACUCCGUGCCAGCAGCCGCGGUAAUACGGAGGAUGCGAGCGUUAUCCGGAUUUAUUGGGUUUAAAGGGUGCGUAGGCGGGUUAUCAAGUCAGCGGUAAAAUCGUGGAGCUCAACUCCAUCCAGCCGUUGAAACUGAUGAUCUUGAGUGGGCGAGAAGUAUGCGGAAUGCGUGGUGUAGCGGUGAAAUGCAUAGAUAUCACGCAGAACUCCGAUUGCGAAGGCAGCAUACCGGCGCCCGACUGACGCUGAAGCACGAAAGCGUGGGUAUCGAACAGGAUUAGAUACCCCAGUAGUC